GUGUUGUAUGAAAGGAGAGAAGGUUAGCACUCCCCUUGACAAGGAUGGAAGAGGCUCUCGGGCCUAACAACACGCAUACGGUUAAGGCAUUGCCACCUACUUAAAGUGCAGACUAUGCUGAGAAUAUAG